rnacentral:rRNA from 1 species
CCUACGGGAGGCAGCAGUGAGGAAUAUUGGUCAAUGGACGAGAGUCUGAACCAGCCAAGUAGCGUGAAGGAUGACUGCCCUAUGGGUUGUAAACUUCUUUUAUAUGGGAAUAAAAUGUUCCACGUGUGGGAUUUUGUAUGUACCAUAUGAAUAAGGAUCGGCUAACUCCGUGCCAGCAGCCGCGGUAAUACGGAGGAUCCGAGCGUUAUCCGGAUUUAUUGGGUUUAAAGGGAGCGUAGGUGGAUUGUUAAGUCAGUAGUGAAAGUUUGCGGCUCAACCGUAAAAUUGCAGUUGAAACUGGCAGUCUUGAGGACAGUAGAGGUGAGCGGAAUUCGUGGUGUAGCGGUGAAAUGCUUAGAUAUCACGAAGAACACCGAUUGCGAAGGCAGUUCACUGGACUGCAACUGACACUGAGGCUCGAAAGUGUGGGUAUCAAACAGGAUUAGAUACCCGUGUAGUC